UACAGAGGUCUCAAGCGUUGUUCGGAUUCAUUGGGCGUAAAGGGUGCGUAGGCGGCGCGGUAAGUCGGGUGUGAAAUCUUGGAGCUUAACUCCGAAACUGCAUUCGAUACUGCCAUGACUAGAGUUCGGUAGGGGAGUGUGGAAUUCCUGGUGGAGCGGUGAAAUGCGCAGAUAUCAGGAGGAACACCCGUAGCGAAGGCGGCACUCUGGGCCGAUACUGACACUGAGGAGCGAAAGCGUGGGGAGCGAACAGG
rnacentral:rRNA from 1 species